rnacentral:tRNA from 1 species
ACUCCCAUGGCGUAGUGGUCACUGCGCUCGCCUUGCACGCGGGAGACCCGGGUUCGAUUCCCGGCGGGAUAA